UACGGAGGGUGCAAGCGUUAUCCGGAUUCACUGGGUUUAAAGGGUGCGUAGGUGGGUCUGUAAGUCAGUGGUGAAAUCCCCGAGCUUAACUUGGGAACUGCCGUUGAUACUAUAGAUCUUGAAUAUCGUGGAGGUAAGCGGAAUAUGUCAUGUAGCGGUGAAAUGCUUAGAUAUGACAUAGAACACCAAUUGCGAAGGCAGCUUACUACACGAUCAUUGACACUGAGGCACGAAAGCGUGGGGAGCAAACAGG
rnacentral:rRNA from 2 species